UACGUAGGUGGCGAGCGUUGUCCGGAUUUACUGGGCGUAAAGGGAGCGUAGGCGGACUUUUAAGUGAGAUGUGAAAUACCCGGGCUCAACUUGGGUGCUGCAUUUCAAACUGGAAGUCUAGAGUGCAGGAGAGGAGAAGGGAAUUCCUAGUGUAGCGGUGAAAUGCGUAGAUAUUAGGAAGAACAUCAGUGGCGAAGGCGGCUUUCUGGACUGUAACUGACGCUGAGGCGCGAAAGCUGGGGGAGCGAACAGG
rnacentral:rRNA from 1 species